AAGGGCGGGACUAAUGCAGCAGGUUAGCGUGGGGAGUAGUGAGCACAUGUAGAGAAAGAAACCUGACCGGACUGAGAGCUAAGAGGAGGCAUCGUAGUGUGGGAAGCAGUUAAGUUUUAUCGUGAGGUCGACUACUCGUGGUCCUGAUUUAAACUUCUUUGUGACCUGCAAAAAGGAGCUGGACGUUGGAGAGAGGGGUCUCCAGCAGAUGGCCUUGCUGUUUUCUGUGUUUUCUUCCUUGUGACUUCGCCACCGCCAUUGCCCACGUGUGUGUUUGGAUUGCCACCGCCAUUGCCAUUAUCUUCGUGAGAAUAUCAUCCCCCAAUCCCUUUCUGCCCCUACUAAUUACACCCUGGAUUUCGUGAGUACUGACUUACACAUUGCACGUGCUUUUAUUUUGAGCUCAAGCUGAGUGAAGCGGCCAGUACAGUUUUUAGGCCCCACCACACACAAGCUUCAACUAACAGGCCUGCAACGGGUUAACCUAAUUUAAAGUGUUGUUGUUAAUUUGGUUGUGUGUGGUACAUUGAGUUUGCAUUGUUGUAAAUUGGAGAAUCCCGUGCAUCUGAUUUUAUUUUAUUUGUUUAUUUGUUUUCUUUUCCUAAAAUACAUUCGACUAGUAUUUCAUUUUGUGAAUAAAUAUGUGAUUGAAUACUUUUACAUUUA